rnacentral:rRNA from 1 species
UACGUAGGGUGCGAGCGUUGUCCGGAAUUAUUGGGCGUAAAGGGCUCGUAGGCGGUUUGUCGCGUCGGGAGUGAAAACACCGGGCUUAACUCGGUGCUUGCUUUCGAUACGGGCAGACUAGAGGCAUGCAGGGGAGACUGGAAUUCCUGGUGUAGCGGUGAAAUGCGCAGAUAUCAGGAAGAACACCCGUGCGAAAGCGGCUCUCUGGAACGGUACUGACGCUGAGACGCGAAAGCGUGGGGAGCGAACAGG